rnacentral:rRNA from 1 species
ACGCCAGUGGCAUUGCCGAGUAGCUAUGUGUGGAAGAGAUAACCGCUGAAAGCAUCUAAGCGGGAAACUCGUUUCAAGAUGAGAUCUGCCGGGGCCUUGAGCCCCCUAAAGAGUCGUUCAAGACCAGGACGUUGAUAGGUCGGGUGUGUACGCGUAGUAAUGCGCUUAGCUAACCGAUACUAAUUGCUCGUGCGGCUUGACCCU